rnacentral:rRNA from 1 species
GUGAGGUAACGGCUCACCAAGGCGACGACGGGUAGCCGGCCUGAGAGGGUGACCGGCCACACUGGGACUGAGACACGGCCCAGACUCCUACGGGAGGCAGCAGUGGGGAAUAUUGCACAAUGGGCGCAAGCCUGAUGCAGCGACGCCGUGUGAGGGAUGACGGCCUUCGGGUUGUAAACCUCUGUUAGCAGGGAAGAAGAGAGAUUGACGGUACCUGCAGAGAAAGCGCCGGCUAACUACGUGCCAGCAGCCGCGGUAAUACGUAGGGCGCGAGCGUUGUCCGGAAUUAUUGGGCGUAAAGAGCUUGUAGGCGGUUUGUCGCGUCUGCUGUGAAAGGCCGGAGCUUAACUCCGUGUAUUGCAGUGGGUACGGGCAGACUAGAGUGCAGUAGGGGAGACUGGAGUUCCUGGUGUAGCGGUGGAAUGCGCAGAUAUCAGGAGGAACACCGAUGGCGAAGGCAGGUCUCUGGGCUGUAACUGACGCUGAGAAGCGAAAGCAUGGGGAGCGAACAGGAUUAGAUACCCUGGUAGUCCAUGCCGUAAACGUUGGGCACUAGGUGUGGGGGACAUUCCACGUUUUCCGCGCCGUAGCUAACGCAUUAAGUG